CCUACGGGUGGCUGCAGUGGGGAAUAUUGGGCAAUGGGCGCAAGCCUGACCCAGCAACGCCGCGUGAAGGAAGAAGGCUUUCGGGUUGUAAACUUCUUUUCUGAGGGACGAAGAAAGUGACGGUACCUCAGGAAUAAGCCACGGCUAACUACGUGCCAGCAGCCGCGGUAAUACGGAGGAUGCGAGCGUUAUCCGGAUUAAUUGGGUGAAAAGGGUGCGUAGGGGGUCCGGAAAGUUAGUGGUAAAAGCCCGGGGCUCAACCCCGGCGCGCCGUUGAAACUGUCGGACUAGAGUCGGGGAGAAGUACGCGGAAUGCGCGGUGUAGCGGUGAAAUGCAUAGAUAUCACGAAGAACUCCGAUUGCGAAGGCAGCGUACCGGAGCCGGACUGACGCUGAGGCACGAAAGCGUGGGUAGCGAACAGGAUUAGAUACCCGUGUAGUC
rnacentral:rRNA from 1 species